CAAAAAGCUAUGACAGGGAUGAACACAUGCCGUCCCUUAGUCGACAGAGAGCCGGGGUAGCUGAAAACCGGUACUAAUAUGGUAUGUGGAGAUCGCCCUCGAGCUGCAGUUCUGAACGGUUUAAAUGGCUUAGUAGGAAUUGCCGGACUGGUAGUCCGUUAUCAAAACCGGUAGCAUUGAAGCGCUGGUGAGUGGCCGCAGCAAGCGGCAAUCAGGGUGGUACCGCGGGAGUUAAACCUCUCGUCCCUGAA
rnacentral:ncRNA from 1 species